CCUACGGGAGGCUGCAGUGGGGAAUAUUGGGCAAUGGGGGCAACCCUGAUCCAGCCAUGCCGCGUGUGUGAAGAAGGCCCUCGGGUUGUAAAGCACUUUCAGUGAGGAAGAACGCCUGGUGGUUAAUACCCAUCAGGAAAGACAUCACUCACAGAAGAAGCACCGGCUAACUCCGUGCCAGCAGCCGCGGUAAUACGGAGGGUGCGAGCGUUAAUCGGAAUUACUGGGCGUAAAGCGCGCGUAGGUGGCUUGAUAAGCCGGUUGUGAAAGCCCCGGGCUCAACCUGGGAACGGCAUCCGGAACUGUCAAGCUAGAGUGCAGGAGAGGAAGGUAGAAUUCCCGGUGUAGCGGUGAAAUGCGUAGAGAUCGGGAGGAAUACCAGUGGCGAAGGCGGCCUUCUGGACUGACACUGACACUGAGGUGCGAAAGCGUGGGUAGCAAACAGGAUUAGAUACCCUAGUAGUC
rnacentral:rRNA from 1 species